UCCCGCCCCCCAGCACCCGAGCCCUCCUCUACUUCAGCCGACUCUGGGAGGAUUUCAAACAGAACACUCCUUUCCUCAACUGGAAAGCAAUUAUUGAGGGUGCGGACGCGUCAUCACUGCAGAAACGUGCAGGCAGAGACGAUCAGAACUACAAUUACAACCAGCAUGCGUAUCCCACUGCCUAUGGUGGGAAGUACUCAGUCAAGACCCCUGCAAAGGGGGGAGUCUCACCUUCUUCCUCGGCUUCCCGGGUGCAACCUGGCCUGCUGCAGUGGGUGAAGUUUUGGUAGGUGAGUGUCAGAGUGAGCCGACCCAGGCCACAUCCUGGCAGUGGAGGCACAGUCACCCGGGGCAGGGCCAGGAUCUUGGUAUAUCCUCAGAUCUCAGUGGGCAGCGACAUGAAGUCAGGCGGAGCAAAAGUGAGGGGCACCACAGGCGAACAGGCAAUUUCUUGCAACCACCACCGAGGCCCCGAAAAGCACUGGUCGUCAGGGAGCUCCUCCCCUUGGCCCCCAGCCUGUGCCAGCCCUGGCCCGGCUGCCACACCUCUGUUUCCUAGGCUGGGGACCCAGCUUGUCUCUCCUUGUUUCUUCCCACUGCACUGUGGUGCUUCAGUGGCCACCAGCCUCGUCACAUACACCAGCAUCUUUCUGUACCUCCUCCCUUUGGUGACCUGAAGUCACUGUGACAGUUCUCCAGGAAGGAGGAGCUUCCUACUUUUGAGUUUCUCUGUGGAAAUAAAACAUGAAUCUUGUUUCCCUA
rnacentral:lncRNA from 1 species